rnacentral:rRNA from 1 species
UACGUAGGGUGCGAGCGUUGCCCGGAUUUAUUGGGCGUAAAGGGCUCGUAGGCGGUCUGUCACGUCGGGAGUGAAAACUCGGGGCUUAACCCCGAGCCUGCUUCCGAUACGGGCAGACUAGAGGUAUGCAGGGGAGAAUGGAAUUCCUGGUGUAGCGGUGAAAUGCGCAGAUAUCAGGAGGAACACCGGUGGCGAAGGCGGUUCUCUGGGCAUUACCUGACGCUGAGGAGCGAAAGUGUGGGGAGCGAACAGG